GGAGAGGUGGCAGAGUGGCCGAUUGCACCGGUCUUGAAAACCGGAGUGCCCGCAAGGGUACCGCGAGUUCGAAUCUCGCCCUCUCCG
rnacentral:tRNA from 1 species